AAGUGUUUGAAAGGACAGAGUGAUGUUGUAUUCGACCAAAUCACCUGUUAAUGCAGAUGAGGGAGUUUCACGAAAUCUACAUCACUAAGCAUUUUGUGCUUUGCAGUCCAGUAUCUGCACAGGAUGUGAUGAAACCGGAGACUAACUACAGCACACAGAGUUUGAAUUGCCCGUUAUCACUGAGCUGGAGUCAUAUAAGGAGGUGAAAGACAACAGUUGGAUUCCAACCACUGAAUUUAUGACAGGCUGACCUCUGUGAACACAUGAACUAUGGCCGAUGUCUCAGGAGGAAUGGCUCUGUCAGUCUCAGUCGAGGCUUUAAAAGUGCAGGAGAGCAGAGCUUUAUGGGCAGGUUGUUGACUGUUUCACACUCAGAGUGUGUGUGUCCAGGCUGAGCAGUGGAGCAGUGAUUGAACAGUGAUCCCAGGAAUGGAGCCCAACAAUGCCGGCAGUGUGCAGUAUGAUCGCUGGAACGAGAGCAACAUCAACAUGAACGUGGAGGCGUCACAGUCGACUAUGAUGAGGCUCCACAACAGACUGUGUGUCGGCAGGACUGGAAUAAUAGUGAAGACAGCAGGAGCUCUGGCUGCUCUGGUGUCCAUCUACAUCAUAGGAUAUGCCACAGGAUACUACGUCCACAGGUGCUGAUGGUGGAGUCCAGCCAGGGAAGAACUGCGGCAUGUUGAUGAUGAAGCAUUUCUAUGCUUUUUAGAUUUUUAUGCUUUGCUUUUUAUCCUGAAAUCAAUCCGCUCUGUCUUGUGUGAUUCAUGCACAACUU